CCUACGGGGGGCUGCAGUGGGGAAUAUUGGACAAUGGGGGGAACCCUGAUCCAGCCAUGCCGCGUGUGUGAAGAAGGCCCUCGGGUUGUAAAGCACUUUCAGUGAGGAAGAACGCCUGGUGGUUAAUACCCAUCAGGAAAGACAUCACUCACAGAAGAAGCACCGGCUAACUCCGUGCCAGCAGCCGCGGUAAUACGGAGGGUGCGAGCGUUAAUCGGAAUUACUGGGCGUAAAGCGCGCGUAGGUGGCUUGAUAAUCCGGUUGUGAAAGCCCCGGGCUCAACCUGGGAACGGCAUCCGGAACUGUCAAGCUAGAGUGCAGGAGAGGAAGGUAGAAUUCCCGGUGUAGCGGUGAAAUGCGUAGAGAUCGGGAGGAAUACCAGUGGCGAAGGCGGCCUUCUGGACUGACACUGACACUGAGGUGCGAAAGCGUGGGUAGCAAACAGGAUUAGAUACCCCGGUAGUC
rnacentral:rRNA from 1 species